ACUCACUUCCUCAUGUGAAAGUACUAAAUUGCCCUUCAUAUAAAUAGAUAUUAUAUUGACCAUGUAUCCUUCUCUGAAACCCAAUUCCUCCCAACUCUUCCUUCCUCUCUCGUAGUCCUCUGUCGUCCCCAUCGCACAUCUAGAACGGCGAAUCAAUUCAUAGCAUUAUAGCGCAUCUGGAAGAAAGGCAUAACGCAAGAAGGUCAUUUUCAAAAUUUCUAGAGAAUGGUUACCUAGGUGAGUGUAGAGCUAAAGUUGCAGAGCUAUCAAAUUUCGUCGUCUAAAACAGGGAAUGGGGAACUACACAUGCGAGUGAAUUUCACCUUCAUAACACAGCUCAUCACUUGGAGGUUCGAGAUUGGACAGAAGCUACUGGUUUCUACACGGUUAGAAGAUGGCUUUGAGAAAUGAAGAUGCGCCACCAGUUUUGUUCCACCACAUAAUCAUUGUUGUAAUAGGAGUGGAAUUGGAUAUUAGUUGCGCUUUGAUAUGAUCAGCUAUUCCUUAUUUAUUAGUAGUGGUUUCAUGAAUUAGUAACCAUGAAACUAGAGUGGAUAGAGAAACUGCAUAUGUAUAUGUUUAGCUAAUAAGUAGCCUAGCAAUAUAAACUCAAGUUUAUGUAUUGCGUUGUUAUUGCCCUUUAUUGCUUUCUUAUUGUGCCUAUAUUGUUGUCUUAACUCUUU